rnacentral:rRNA from 1 species
UUAAAUUGAAGAGUUUGAUCAUGGCUCAGAUUGAACGCUGGCGGCAGGCCUAACACAUGCAAGUCGAACGGUAACAGGAAUCAGCUUGCUGAUUCGCUGACGAGUGGCGGACGGGUGAGUAAUGUCUGGGAAACUGCCUGAUGGAGGG